rnacentral:rRNA from 1 species
UUACUCCUACGGGAGRCAGCAGUGGGGAAUCUUGCGCAAWGGGCGAAAGCCUGACGCAGYGACGCCGCGUGGGGGAAGAAGGYUUUYGGGUUGUAAMCCCCUUUCAGGAGGGACGAAGCUCCUCAGGUUAAUAGCCGAGAGGGUGACGGUACCUCCAGAAGAAGCCCCGGCUAACUACGUGCCAGCAGCCGCGGUAAUACGUAGGGGGCAAGCGUUGUCCGGAUUUAUUGGGCGUAAAGAGCGUGUAGGCGGCCUGGUAGGUCAGUUGUGAAAACUCGAGGCUCAACCUCGAGACGCCGAUUGAAACCAUCAGGCUAGAGUCCGGAAGAGGAGAGUGGAAUUCCCGGUGUAGCGGUGAAAUGCGCAGAUAUCGGGAAGAACACCCGUGGCUAAGGCGGCUCUCUAGUACGGUACUGACGCUGAGACGCGAAAGCGUGGGGAGCGAACAGGAUUAGAUACCCUGGUAGUCCACGCCGUAAACGAUGGGUGCUAGGUGUGGGGGGUGUCGACUCCCUCCGUGCCGAAGCUAACGCAUUAAGCACCCCGCCUGGGGAGUACGGCCGCAAGGCUAAAACUCAAAGGAAUUGACGG